CGACAACAAUAGACCAUGCUUUUUUCAACGGCAGAGUGUUGCAUCUAUAAGUUUUCUUAUGAUUGGCUCUGUCUUUGCUGGAGGUUCCUGGUGUGCCAACACAGCAAGAGCCCGAGCAGCUGCCCUGGGUUUGGUCCUCCCUAGGACCCAGUUUGUCCCUUACAGCCUUCGACCAACACGCCAUAGGAGUUUUGAUCCCAUAAAAACCCACUAUGAAAAUAAGGAUGGGCCCAAAGAGGCUCAGUUUGAGCCUAGCCUUCUGCGCAACAGUAAAAUCCAAGGGGAUGGCUAUCCAACUGACUGGGCCUAUGGACAAGUCUUCGCCAGAGGCUUUCAACCCAAACCGUAUUCACUAAACUAUCACGGUUCUGAUCCCAGUUUGGCUGACUCCUCUGUCAGCCAUUCUGUCUACACUCCCAAGGGAGAACUUGUUAGCAGCCACAAGCCCAACUUUGAGCAAGUCAAGAAUUCUGUGCCUCGAUCAAAUGUAAUGGUAGCCCCUGGUCAGUUUGAGUACUCAGACAAAGUGGACAUUCGCAAUUACUAUAAGCCUGUUGUAGUUCAGCCUGUUCCCAGCAGACGUAGAACAAUCCAGAGUGUGGUUCCACGACCCCAGAGCAGAGGUGCUGUACCCUAUGGAAAAAGUAUCCUAUGGUCCUGGCCACAGUAGAGACUUAUCCUCUCCACCAUCCCAGAGUGGACUCAUCAGCCUCCGAGCUAAAAAAAAAAAAAAUGUUCCCAGACCCUGUUGUCCAUUCAGUGAUCAAAGAGCCAAAAAUGAAGUGUCAGAAAAACAGAUCCUGUUGGUUAAUAAGCUCCUAAUGGACAAACUCUCCUUUGCAAACCACCUUUGGCUCCUCAGACAUGCAUACCAGUGGUGAGCAAAUCAGUGACCUUGUGCACUUUUAAGGGCAAAACAUGUAAGCUGUGUUUGAAGUCAUUACAUUUACUUAUCCAUGACAUCACUGUUCUGAAUCAGUAUUUGUUUAUGGCUCUUCCCCCACUGCCCAGUGUUGAUCCUUCAAAUAAAAUGUAUUUUUCAGAUUGUGUUUUUUAAAUUUAUUACUAGAUAAAUCAACUGAUAGACCAAGUAAAGAUUAACAAUGUGCUACAUUUAUAGAAUUUUGGUGUAAGACCAGUUAUCCAGUAGCGACUCACCAGAAAUGUAUUUUGAAAGAUACAAUUUGAACUGAAAUAAUGUCAUUUUGAUAAAUUGUUCAGUUUGCUUUUGAUCACCUCUUGUGAUUUAUGUCCCUGUAAACCAAUUUGAUAGAAACUCAGC
ensembl:lncRNA